CACGUAGGGUGCGAGCGUUGUCCGGAAUUAUUGGGCGUAAAGAGCUCGUAGGCGGUGUGUCGCGUCGGCCGUGAAAACCUGCAGCUUAACUGUGGGCGUGCGGUCGAUACGGGCAUCACUGGAGUUCGGCAGGGGAGACUGGAAUCCCUGGUGUAGCGGUGAAAUGCGCAGAUAUCAGGAGGAACACCGGUGGCGAAGGCGGGUCUCUGGGCCGAUACUGACGCUGAGGAGCGAAAGCAUGGGUAGCGAACAGG
rnacentral:rRNA from 1 species